rnacentral:lncRNA from 1 species
CUGUUCAUUUCUUUCACUUGUGAAAUUUUACUGUUGAAUUACAUUCAGAGUUCCUGUUACUCGGUGAAACUGGUAAAAUGCUGAUUCUGAGAGGAGUUGGGACAUCAGGGAACAUCUCUCUUAAAUCACAUAGCUUUCACUACACUUUUUACGGAUACCCGAACCAAGGAGUGCCUGUCUUAUCACUUACAGUUGUUUGUGUUACUCUUGCAAUUUAGCCUGGCACCAUGUUAGAUGCUACAUAUGCUUAUUGAAUACAGCAGUUUCUACAUACUUCCUGGAGGAGAACUACUUAUCUUUCGUUUCUUUGAACCGGUAAUCUCCGAAUGCCUUGGAUGACAUCGAAUGAAGUCCAUGUCAUGGCAAUGGUUAUUAUAUGUGUUGAAUGAGGCGAAACAUUCUAACAGUCUCUUUGGCUUAUCUAUCUUCAGCUCUGGUAUAUGCUUUCAAAAACCUUAGCAGAGAAGGCAGCUUGGGAAUUCGCCAAAGAAAAUGGAAUUGACCUUGUCACGAUAAACCCAGGAUAUGUGAUCGGUCCCAUCUUGCAGCCCACUGUUAAUUUCUCCGUGGAGAUAAUACUGAACCUCCUUAAUGGUAUCACUAUCAUCUAGCCAUAAAUUAUGUUUGUUAUUAAAUCUUCGCCAUUUUAUUUCAGAGCGGCUUCGUCAAACAUUUGUGCAUACUUGUUCUCAUUACCCAAAAGACAAUCUCAAGGAGUAACUAUAGAACUAUGUUUCUGAUUGAAGACAAUCUCAGUGAAGUCGUAUGCCCUUAACCAUACUUAUGAGUUAUGGACGCAUGUGCCUCAGAAUGUCUUUCUGCAUUGGUCCAUGGAAUAGCUAUCCUUCUUUGCUAGUUAACUGAAUUUGGCAACAUGAGGUCCCGAGGCCCUUUCAUUCUAUCUACUGAAUCUGCCUUAUGUAUUUAAGGGUUUGCUUAAUUGGCUGCACAGACACACUAUUACAAUCAUUUAUGGUAGAUUUCCGCAUGCGACAUGUUUUUUAACUACUGGCAGUAGCAGCAUUCGGUACAAAGUUGUCUUGACGUUUGCAUGGGAGUAAUUGAGGCUUAUCCUGCAGGAGCUCAAACAUUUCCAAAUAAAUGCUAUAGAUUUGUUGAUGUCAGAGACGUUGCACUCGCACAUAUCCUAGCUUUUGAAAAUCAUUCAGCUCAUGGAAGAUAUUGCCUAGUAGGCGACGUCGUACACUGUCAUGAUGCCUUGAAGAUUCUCCGCAAUCUCUACCCCACUUUGCACCUCCCAGAGAAGUAAGUUAUCAUUUUUCCUUAAUUCUUAUCUUCUGUCAGAAUACUGUGCGUCCAAGAGAUUACGGUUGUUUUCGUAAUGGUGUAGAUGCGAAGAUGAGAAGCCUUUCUUGUCGAAGUAUGAGAUAUCAAGAAAGAAGGCAGAAUCUCUGGGUGUCAACUUCACUCCAUUCGAGGUGAGUCUGAGAGAUACCGUCGAAUGCCUCAAGGAAAAGGGAUUCAUCUCUAUCUAGGCACUUGCUUAGAACAGCAUGUCACGAGCUUGCUAAUAAUGACUUGUGGACCUGUGGUCUGUCCUCAGCCUUUCAGCUCCUAAAUCAUACAAUUCUUCUGAAUAAUGUAUCAUUACCCACUUUUAGAGAUAACUCUGCCAGUUUUUCCCAGCUAAUCUUACGUUAUUGAUGUUUAGUUUCUGUGUCCAAUUUGCCUGCCGAAACAACUCAUCAUAUAGAACAUCAGAUAUAAUCUUGAAGACUUUGUAAGCAAUGUCGAAAACUUGUGAGAUAAAUUGAGUUAAUGACUCAAGCUAGCGGUUAAUCCAAGAAGGCUCCUUUCUGGCCAACAUACUUGACUGCCAUUAUGUAUAAAGCCAAUAGAAAAAUGAAGGACUCACUAUGAUUGGAUAUGAAUAUCAAAGACUGAUUCUGCCAGUAACUUAUAUGACCAAAAGAUUGGUGACUCAUGAUACUCUCAAUCAACAGAGCAUUGAACAGUGUUUCUGAGCUUAACAAAACCUUGAUAAUAAUAGCUAGUAGACAAUGCGUACUGGCUGUGAUUGCCAUCCCGAUGCAAGAGAGCUUUACACGACCAAAUUGCAUCUGAACUUGCAGCACCUAAUAUGAGCGUGCACUUUCUGUCGUCAGAUGUAAUAUGUGUUAUCAAACAAUCAAUUCUUCACUUCUGAUGAAAGCAUCUGAACUGCCAUCUCAUUUCAUUUGCAUAUGCAAUGGUCUGACAGGCCUUUGUAUAACUCCCAAUGCAUUAUCCCAUCCAUAGCUUCAACACCUUAUCUUUACCACCAGAAGCAACAUUCUCACCAUCUGGAUUCCAAUCGACUGCAAAAACCUUCUCACGAGAACACCUGCUAAAGUAAGCAAGUGGUAGUCCAUGAUAAAAAUACAAACUUAAAAACUUGUCUGAUGACCAUGUUAAGGGAACAAACCUCAUCCGCAUGACCCGGAAGAUCUUGUUUCAACUUCUUCGUGCGAAUAUCCCAGAUCUAAAAGUAAGCCAAAUAUUGAGCAAACAUUUAAGCAUUCAAAUCAGGCAAAAAUUCAUAAUAAUCAUAACCGGUAAAAAGGGCAGACUCCACAUGCUAUUGAUAUUUACAAAUAGUUCAAACAGAAUUAAAACAAGCAAGAGAACAUCACUCAAGCUUCCAUACGUACUCUGCUUUACAAUAUCCUCAUCACCAUAUCUCACAAAAUAAGCAGACCUAACAUGGUCCAAUGGUUCAAAAAAUAACUUAAAUAGGCCAUUGAGAUCUCAAUGAAAACAAGUUGCACUAGAACUCAGCAACAACCAGGGGGAAAAAUCCUUAUUGCUUGCACCAUAAAUAAACUAAUUUCCUGUAACACAUUGAUAUUUUUUUCACAGAUAAUAUUACAAGCUCUCCUGUUACAAUUCUAAGUGACCACACUUGAUCUCUCUUAAAGCUGGCCCAUGACACAUGUAAGUACUUUAUGGAAAUCAUUCGAACGCUAUAUGCUUUGUGCAACUGACCUUCAGGGUAGUCUUUGCUCCCACUUAAAAGAAGUCUACUAUCUGCAGACCAACUGUGCAUUAUGUAAAUCAUGAUUAGAAAUCAUUCUUGAAUGGAUAAGACGAGCAAAUUUUGAAAAUAUCUCAAACCUUAUCUGAUAUACAGGCCGGACAUGUCCACUGAAUGCAGCAACAAACUUCCCAAUAAUACCAUUCCACAACUUCACAGAUCUAUCAAACGAAGCACUAGCCACCCAUUGCCCAUCCGGUGAAAAGUAGACAUGAUCCACAAGCUGCAAACAAAAAGCAUAAUUUCCCGCAUUUACACCUAACAAGGAUCUAAAGUAUUAGCCUCAAGAAAAUAUUAGGAGGAUGUCUCAUCCAUUGAACCAGUGCCACCAGGACCACAAUGUGGAGUACGUCCUUAUUUAGCAUCAUUAUGGCAAUUGAUAGUAUAUACUGGAGCACAAACAGUCUUCUAAAUACAGUAAAUACUUAGGGAAUCAAUCACACAGCAAAAGCAGGCAGCUGUCAAAUCAAUCUCCCUCCCUCCUCCCUCACACACGCACGCACACACAAACCUGUUGGUGAUCGGUCAUUCGUGUUUUUGGAUGCUUACCAACAGAAGGUUCCCACAAAAACAUAGUAAAAUCAUCAGAUCCAGAGACCAAUUUUUCGGGAACAUUGCCUUUCAUUUUCUUGUAACUUUCUAAUGCAACCUAUGUUCAUCAACAAAAUACAGAAGUUCAUAUGACAGUUACCAGAAAGUAGAACUACAAAUGUGCACAGACCCAAAGGCAGAGAAUCACCACAAGGGGGCAGAACAUGCACAGAGCCAGAAGACGUGCUGACUAAUGCAUACUAGGUUGUAAGAAAAUAAUGUCCAGAGAGAAAUAACCAAUGCAUACUAAGUUGCAUGAGCAAAUCAAUAUGCAGAGAGAAAUAAAUGUUUGAUUUAUUGCCUCAUGAUAUAAAGAUGAUUCCACAUAAUAACAGUUACCUACUUGCUUCAUUUCUUCAGAAGAUGAAUACUGUUUUCCAGUGUGAUCAAAAGCUACAGUUCGAAGAACAUACUCAGUGCUCAGAGCAGGGAGUUAACCCAGUGUCCAAAAUCCUACAACAAAAAUUUUAACAGAAAUAACGAUGAUUGUGAAAAAAAGAAGAGAGGGAUCUAGCAGCAACUUAGAUUAAGAAUGCGGACUUGGCAGUAGAAACUAAGAAAAGACAUAAACACGCAAGCCAUGAAAACAAAACUCUAACCUUAAUAUGCAAUUCACAUCUCAGAGACAUCGAAAAAUGGUGGUAUUUCAUUCUUAACGUCAAUAUCUCCCGAGAACUAUACAAUGAAAACAUUCAAGGACAUGAUGUCGCCAAUAGCUGGGCUAAAUAAUAUGCCCAAUUAGUAGGGGGUAGGUCACUAGGUGCCAAACUGCCUCCUGGCACCAAAGAGAUUGAGUGAAUGCAGCUACUGCAAAGGCGCAAAUAAAUAUAAAGCUAUUGUGGUGAAGAAGAAGACAGGCAUGCAAUGACCCUGCAAUCUGUAUUACAAACUUUAAAAAAGAUGUUACCUUCAAUUCCCUUAUCAGCUUCCCCUGGGAGUUUCUCAGACAUUAAUUGUACAGUCCUGGGAGCUGCAAGAAAUUUAAAAUAAUUACUUCACCAGGUAACAAGUAGUAGAAGCAGCAGCAGUUUGGCAAAGUCCAAGGAUACUCAGUAGCUUGAAAGCAGAAUUUACAAGUCCUCGCCUAAUCUGAGGCCCAUCAGAAGUAUGAUUUAGUAAAAAAAACUUCAUGUUAUUCUUUUGUUGUUCAUGUAGCACGGCACUAGCAUAUGGACAUUAAUACAUCACAAAGUGAUUAAAUAUUUAUCUCAGUGUGGAAUUGCCUCUCUUGUUCCAACUUGUCAGUGGGACAGUUAUUAAGGGUUGGCGGAUCAAGUCCUUCCAUUGAGAAUUUAGUUUGCAGCCUCAGUGAUAUUCAUUUCCGCACAACAUGAAAACUAUCGCUGACAACGUGUACUAGGAUUUGGUAAUUCAUGAUUUUAAGAUUCGAAACAUUUAACCAACACGGGCAUUAAAAGUAGCAGGAGGGCUUACAUUUAGGAAGCACAAAACCGAACCAGCCAAUGAACUUCCAAUAGCCAAAAGCGCCAAGAAGCGGAAGUCAAAGAUCACCUGCUCAGCAAUGGAGGACUACUCUUUGAACAUAGAUGCACUAAUAAAGGCAAUCAAUACGAAAGAACACACCGGUCAUGAAAGCAGAAAUAAAGAGCAACAAGGAAUUAAAAUCAAGCGCAGCUCAUUACAAGUCCAUUGCAAUAGCUUUUGCAGUUGAAAAUACAACCUUCGAUCCAUCAGGACCCUCCAGCAAUUGAGCAUAUACACCCAGUAUGUAAAACAGGCUCUCAAACAUCCAAACCCACCAAACCCAAAUCACCGAACCUCUUUCUAAUUCUCCGUAGCUGAGCAAUAAACAAACUUCCAACAACUCAGGAGCAACAAUUGUUCAAAGGAGGAGGAAACGAUCGAGCGAACGGACAAGCUAAAGAACUGAGUCGGUUCGGCUCACUUUUUAGAUGUUCGAUUCGGCGGCCUGAACGAAACCGACGAGGGGACUGCUGUUGGGACACAGACGCACGAUCAGACACAGAGACGGAGAGAGAGAUAUUUUUCAUUCAUUGUGGCGGGUAACCGUUAAUUUAUCAACGGUGGAGAUCGCAUCAGGAUGCGCACUGGGGCUUUUACUGGCAAAAGUACCAAGUGCAACUGGAGUCUGCAGACAUUUAUACGUGCCUAUCAAAAUUAGUUGCAGCCGGCUUCUCAUCCGAUCGUCAAUGUGAAUUGCACGGAAAUGUAGAGAGAUAUCGAUACUUUUCUGAAUCUAUAUAACUAAAAUUAGUCGGUAUCUAAUGGGACGAAUGUCUGUAAGUCGGUCAUAUUGAGAUUAGUAAUAUUGAACGAAAGUCAUUGACUUCAAAACUUUGGUAAAUCAUAAUCGAACAAAAAUCACUAACAUCAUCAAAAUAUUUGAUAAUCUUGCAAGUAUAAAUUUUUUUUAGUAAAUGACUGAAAUUAAUUAGAAUCUUAACGUGACAUAUGCUGGUGCACCGAUUAGAUUAAAGUCAAUAAUUUCUUAUAUAGGUCAAUGACUUCGGUAACGUUGAUAAGCCAUAUAUAUAUAAAUGUUCGGAGAUUGAUAAUUUAUCCUCCAUAAAUAAAUCUUAGAUACUUGUAAAAACUUCUUCUUAAUUACUAACAUGUGAUUGGGUAAGCAAAAAUGAACUUUUUGUUGAUAUUUGACGUACACACCUAAUAUUUGACAUACACAUCUCUAUUGCUUUGGAUACAGUUCUAUAGACAAAUAAAGAAAAUAUAGUAAUACAGCACAUGGUAGUUCAUUAUUUCUUGGCAUGACCCUGAAAGUGGAUGCUUGACCUGAUCGAGGGUUCGAGUUUUCCAGAAUAAGGAUUGAAACCCAUUUACCUCCGGUCUCAUCGCCUAUUUCUUAGAAGCUUCGCCCUCCUGUUUCCAAUCGGCAACCACCUUCUGGCAAUUCUAUCUAUAAAAUCGAAGUAUGAGUUUGCCCAAGAACCUUUGAUGUGCAAGACCACAAUUGGAACUAAUAUACCGGCAGCAUAUCCAAGGCCGACGCUCAAGUAAAACCACUGAUCAAUGAACUCAUCAUCACCGCGACUGUCCUCGAUUGUCUCUCGUUUGUCAGGUUCAUCGGCUGGACACGUGACAUUGAGGGGAGCACCGCAGAGUCCCGAGUUUCCAUAGUAUGAAGAAGGGAAUGUCAUCAUUUGUUGUGUGUAAGGAAUCUUUCUCGAGAAGUUAUUAUCAGAUAAAUUUAGAUAACUCAAAAAUGACAGCGAUGGCAUGCUUUGAGGGAUUACACCAAAAAGCCUGUUGCUUGAAAGAUCAAGGGAUAACAGUUGGCUCAUGCUCGAAAUGCUCUCAGGAAUUUCACCACCAAUGUCGUUUCUUGAUAAGUUCAGAAUGAGCAAUCCAACCAGUUUAGUCAUUUCUUUUGGAAAUUCUCCACCUAAAUUAUUUCCGGAGAUAUCUACGCUAGUGACAAGGGAAAGAGUCUUGGUGUACAGUUGGCUUUGGCUUUGCAUGGUCACUCGGCAGUUCUCUUGAUAGUAUGUGCCUCCGUAGUUCCUGUAAAAUAGGUACUCGAUUCUAGCUUGCCCUUCUACCAUUGCUUUAAGAUCUCCAAAGCUUGAAGGAAUGUUACCUGUCAAAUUGUUUUCUGCAAGAUCCAGCACUUGCAAUGAGCUUAAACUUGAGAGCUCAUGAGGAAUUUCUCCAGAAAAUGCAUUGGACCUCAAACUUAAAAUUCUUAAAUUGAUGAAACCCUCCGCCAUCCAUGCAGGUAUGGUGCCAUUCAAUUGGUUGUUGCCAAUAUCUAGCGUUUCUAAGCUGGACAGAUUCUUGAAUGAAGAUGGAAGGUCUCCUGAGAGCUUAUUGUUGCUGAGGUACAGAGACUGAAGCCCUUGUAAUUGGCCCAAAGGCGCGGCUAUCAAUCCAGAUAAAGAAUUGUUUUGUAGGUUGAGUACCUCUAGGCUUGAGCAGUUCCCUAUGCUUGGAGGAAUGCUUCCACUCAAAUUGUUGUUUGCUAAGUUGAUGACCUGAAGCCAUUGCAUUUCUCCUAUAGAUUCUGGGAGCCCACCUGUUAUUCUGUUAGAUGAAAGGGAGAGGAAGCCCAAUUCCGGCAUGUAUUUGCUUAAAUUUUGUGGAAUGCCACCUAAAAAUUGGUUGUUAGAGAGGUCUAACAAUCUAAUCUCAGAAAUGGGAAGAGGGAACGGUCCCUGAAAAAAGGUUAGAGCUGAGAUCAACAAGCGCAAGAGGAGCUGCUGGCAACGGAUUAGGUAAUUGGCCCUGCAACAGAUUUAGAGACAUGUUGAGGAGAGAGAGAUUCGAAGAAAUGUCCCAAAACCAACUUGGCACAGGCCCCGAAAUGCUGGCAUUUGAAAAAUCAAGAUAGUUGAUCUCAUUUUCAUGUCUAAGCCAGGCGGGGAAAGAUGGACCGAUCUGGCACGAUCCCAUGCCAAGACUGUGGACUUGGAACGGAGGCAUCCAGUCGGCACUGACAUUUAAAGUGAAAGAGUUGGAUGAGAGAUCUAAGGUCUUCAUUUUGCGUAGAUUUGCAAAAUGUUCUUCAGAUAGUGUACCUGACAAAUGAUUGAAAGACACGUCGAGAACAUCCAACUCAGAAAGUUGUCCCAGAUCAACGGGAAGAGUCCCAUUCAAUUGGUUCCUACCAAGGUCCAGAACGGUGAGGUUCUUCAGAGUCCCAAGAGAAGAAGGACUCGGCCCUUCAAGCAAGUUAUAGUCAAGGGUUAGUUCCUCAAGGUUUUUAAAUUGGCCCAUCCAACUUGGCAGAUAACCCCUCAGCCGAUUGUCGUUCAAUCUCAAGUACCUCAAAUUAGGCAAAGAACUCUGGGAAUAACAAGUUUCAGAUCCCCUCUGCAAAAUUUCCGGCAAACUACUUUUCAAGUUGUUGUUGGAUAAAUCAAAAUUAACUAAACUGCAAAGUGAACCGAUGGAGCUCGGUAUUCCUCCCCUGACCAGAUUCCAAGAAAGGUCAAAAUUACUGAGUGGUUAUUUUCCCAAUGGAAGUGGGAAGUAUUCCGUGUAUUUUAUUAUCAGCCAAAUCCAUAACUUCUAUCCUUUUCCAUGAUCCUUGGAACAACUGAGUACAACUUGCUGAGAAAUUAUCGUUUCCAGAUAAAAUUAGGAUUUGCAAGUGCGGUAGCUCGCCUAGACCAAGAGGGAUCCUUCCAUAUAGACCACUGAAACUCAUGUCAACACUAACAAGGCUGCUUACAUUCAAAAGCCAUUGAGGGAACUCUGAAUCGAAACUGUUGAAGCUGAGGUCUAGAGCAGCGAGUGAAGUGAAGUUCACCAAACCAGGUGAUGAUAUCAAACAAGAUAGGCGACAAUCGGACAGAUGCAACCCCGACAACGACAGAAACCCGUUUAGCACACUGAUCCACGUGGAACUAACCAUUGAGAGGUUCACUCCAUCAAGCGCAAGAUAUUUCAGAGAACCAAGACCAGAAAUCCACCCGAGAUUAUUAGUACUUAACCACUGAAAGGGAGUAGGAAGAUCAAGAUACUGCAAGUUUGACAAAUUUUCUAGAUUUGGAGGAAUUGCACCACGAAACUUGGCAAUUGGCAGGUUCAGGUACCGUAGGUUCUCCAAAGAACCAACAAAUGCAGGAACUGGUACGCCAUCAAAAUUAUUUGAGCUCAAGUCCAAGAAUCUCAGAGACUUGAGUCGCGCUAAUGAAGGUCUAAUUUCUCCACACGGUUUCCAAUAAGUAUACAUACUAGAGUAGCCACGAAGAUCAAUGCUUAUCACCCCUCCAGUCCUCUCAUCGCAGCCUAUUCCACCAGCAACAAUUGCUUCCUUGCCAUGAGGACAGGCGAUUAUAAGGAUCUUGAAGGCCAUUUUUGAAGUCAAUUAGAGCUUCCCUAUCAGACCCUGAGCAAUUCCCAGCAGGGAUAUUGCCGUCACAAGCCGAUAGCCAUGCUAAAAUGGAGAUAGAGACUAGUAUAAUGCAAAGGGAUGAAUCUCUCGCCAUCUUGAUCAAAAUAUGUAAAACUGAAGGUAGCAUUACAAGGACUAGUAACCCGGGACUAGUUUGUUUCAAAUAUUGCUUGAAAAGUCAAGUGGGAUCAGCAGGAUAAUCACGAGAUGUCCAAAGAAAGUUAAAGAGAUGUUGACUGAUUGAGUCUUUGUGAGUAAAAUAUUUAGGCGUGGAGUAUAAAAGGAUUCAAUGACUUGAAAAACUAAGGGUUAAUUCCUUGAAAAACCCCAAACUAGUACACCUAUAAUAAAUUUACUUCAAAUUAAUUUGUUGAUCACAAAAAGUCCUAAACGGGUACACUUAUGACAAAUUUACCUUAAAUGACCACAAAAAAUCCCAAACUAGUAUUUACUCUAAACUAAUUUGUUCAACUGCCAAAAAUCUCAAGCUAAUACAUUUGCGAUAAAUAUACCUUCCCUUAGAUUGAAUCAAUAUUGUAAAAACCAAAAAAAUAAUACAAUUGUAAUAAACAAAAAGUAAAUCCCAAAUUGGUACACUAGUUAACUAACACAUAUCAUCUAACUUAACAAAGAGUAAAUUUAUCAUAAGUAUACCAAUUUGAGGUAAAAUUGCCAAAGUGCACCAAUUUAGGGUUUUAGGUGGACUGACUCAGUCUUUGCAAGUCAAAUAUUUAGGCGUGGAGUAUAAAAAGGUUCAAUGACUUGAAAAAUUAACGGCAUCUAAUGUAUUUAAUUCAUUGUUUUGGGCAUUCAUGAAUUCAUUCACAUGAACUGGUCAUCUCAUUUUCGUAUCAACAUUAGAUCUUAUUUAUGAUAUUAUGCCAUCUCAUGCGUUGAUCUCGUUUCUCAACUAUUGUAUCAAGUCAGCUUUUGGAAUUGCCCUUCUUUUUUACCAACAGCAAAAAGAAUUUCUUGAUGGGCACACUUCCCGCAAGAAAAAAAAAUUCAUCUUGAAUCCAGUUAUCUUCAUUGAUGCCAAACAUGAGUGCAGGACUUGGAGAACUGAAUAGUCGUGGAAAAGAAAAGAAAGGGAUUUAGAGAAUGGUGGGAGUCUGAAAUUGAUUUGCAAUUUUCUCGCCCAUGUAUCUAUAAAUUAUUGAAACAAUUACAACUUUUUGAAAUAAAUCAUAUAAACAUUGACAAUGAAACAAUUAAAACUUUUGAAAUAAACCAUAUAAACAUUGACAAUUGAACUCAAAUAAGUGUUAGUAAUUUUGUGUAAGGUUUUAGUAGCUUGGGACCUUUAUUAAUUGGUAAGUUGCAAAAAUAAGCGUUGAUAAAUCAUUGGAACUGUUGGUAGCUGCGUAACAAUUGAAUAAUCAUUAGUAACCAUGUCAGCUAAAAGUUAAUGAUUUCACAUAAGAAUUAGGUGAUUUUUCAUUGGAGUCGGUAACUUUAACAUGCUGAUAUCCACAAAUAAAUGUUGAUGAAGUCUUAAGAUAGGUGGUGAUUUCAAAUAUCAUUAGAUGAACAUCAAUAGUUCAAUAAAAUAAGCAUUAGUAAAGCCAAAAGCAUAUGGUAACCUCAUCCACGAAAAUGCGUUAAAUCAUUCGCAAUAAUAUCGGUAAUUUGCUAUCAUGUAAUCUUAAUUCAAUGGUAACUCUAAUAAAUAAUAAUUGGUAAAUUCUUAGAACAAUUAAAAAGUUAAUAAACGAGAGUUGGAAAAUAUUUUAACAAAAUUAGUAACUUUAAUACGUUGGUCAGGCAUGUAAAUAACAUGAGUAAUCUACACAAAUAGUUUGUAAUUUAAAACAGUCAAAUUACUGACGGUCCUUUCCCAAAAUUGUUACUAACUUACUAAAAGCCAAAUUACUAUUGUACUUUCAUAUAACAGUGGGUAAUUUAUUAACAUGAUACAGGUUAAAUAAGAUGCCAGUCAGUUUAGUUGCUAAUAGGUUUGACAUUUAACAAAACUUAAAAUGAAUUAGUGGCACCGAAUAAUGUUCUGUAUAUUCAUACACGGAGCGCUGAUAAUCUGAUUGUUGGGUCUUAAUUAUGUAACCCUUCUUGAGCUUGUGGUUUGAGGGUCUUCACAGAUGAGGGCAGAUGUGGAACUGCUUGAAAAUGCGCAUAUAGUUCCAGCGACUAAUGUCCAGAACCAGACACUAUAAAAUAUCAUGGACAGCUUUCUUCAGCAAAAGAUGCUCCAAGUCUGGCCGAGACCAGUUAUCUAGAAUCGACAGAAGCAAUAAGUUAAUUAGCUUUUGUGGUGCAUCUACAUAACAAUCCAACUACCAAGAAAGUCUACCAUUCCGUGAAGCUUCCCCAGAGAGGUCAGAGAAUAGUGCCAUAGCUCAGGCAGGGGGAGAGAGAGAGAGAGAGAUGAACGUGGUGUGUGUCACCAGAGCAUCAGGCUAUAUGGCGUCAUAGUAAGUGAAACUCCUGCUCCAAAGUGGCUACACCAUCAAAGCAACCGUUCGUGACCCGAGUCAGUUCAAGACCCUUGAUUACAUUCAUGCAUGACAUCGUUUAUGGCUUCACCAGUCCAUAUCAUUACAAGAAGUUGUUCUAAUUUACAUGUAACGGGUGAUACAAAGAAGACUGUGCAUCUGCUUGCUCUAGAUGGAGCCAAGGAGAGACUUCAUCUUUGUAAGGCAGACCUACUGGAAGUAGGAUCUUUUGAGUCCAUUGUCGAUGGAUGUGAUGGUGUCUUCCACACUGCAUCACCUGUGCUUCUCACCCCCAAAGACCCCAAGGUUCUUUUGCUCUUUCAAAGGCUUGUGUCAUGGUCUCUCAAAUGUUCUUUUUUCCCUUGUUUCUUUGGAAACACGAGGUAGAAAUUAGCGCUUAAAAAUAGUGUUGCCAAACCAGUGGUUUUUUAAAUUGUAUAUCGUUUUGGCCAUAGCAAUUAAAUGCAGAAGUUGUAAUAGUCUACAUAUACGCAAAGUAGGAGCCAAUUUCAAACUAUUAGCAAGAAUUCAAUGGCAAAAUAGAAAGCUUCAACUCAAGGUUUCUGCGAGGGCAACAAAUCUAACUCUUCAGCACAAUGCAUUCAUCCAUAUUGCGGUUUCUCCAUCUCUAUAUAUGUCCUCGACUUCAAUAAGUUCAGUAGUUCAUACUUGUCUUUCCGUGUCUCAGAUGGAGCUGAUAGAUCCUGCAGGGAGGGGAAUAAUUAAUGUUCUUUCUUCUUGUGCCGAAGUCCCUACAAUCAAGAGAGUGGUGAUAACAUCUUCUAUGGCUUCAGUUGCAUUCAAUGGAAAGACUUUGACUCCUGAUGUGACAUUAGUUGAGACUUGGUUUUCUGAUCCAGUAAUCUGUCAGAUAUCAGAGGUAAUUAUACGUGACAUUCUAAAUUCACCUAAGUCGUCAGAACAUGCCAUUUUUCACCUUUCUUGCAUCAUCAAUUAAAUCUUAGAAAAUGUCAGAAAUGCAGAACGUUUUCCAUUUUUGUUUUUCCUUGGAUGAACUACAUAAAAAAAAAAUUCUACUCAGAUUUGGAUCUGUCGCAAGUUCUUCCUAGUAACUUUAGACCAUCACAGAGGAGCUAGCAUGCAUCAACUACUCAAAUUGAUUUCAUUGUGCACUUCUUGCUUUUCUGUUUCAGCUUUGGUACCCAGUUCGAAAACCUUAGCUGAAGAGCCAGCAUGGAGAUUUGGAAGAGAGAAGGGGAUCGAUUUGUUCACGAUGCAUCCUGGGUUUGUCAUAGGUCCCCUGCUACAAUCUUCGUUUAAUCUCAGCACAGAAAUGUUUCUCAAUCUCAUAAAUGGUAGUCACAAGUAACUGAUAAAUUUAUUAUAUUGUUUAUUCUGAUGAGAUUAGGAUUGUUAUAAGUAAUUCCGUAAAUAGUACUUUUACACGAUUUGUGCUCAGUAAUUUGUCCUCAACUUAACAAGCAAAUGUCAAGAGGAUAUAUAUGUUGAUUCAUUUUAUAAUGGACAAAAGAUACGCAGGAUGGAACUUAUUAAACUGAUACAGACGGUGAUACAUGUGAUGGAAUUUAAUUCAAUGAAAUACACAAAUUUAUUGGAACCAUAUUUAUAACAAGAGGAGACUUACAAGUGAAGUUGUUCCCAUCUGAUGCUGAGAUAUUUGCUGCAGGAACUCACCCUCUUCCUGGCGCAAACUAUAGAUCUGUUGACGUAAGAGACGCUGCACGUGCACACAUUCAUGCCUUUGAGUCCCCUUCCGCUAAAGGCAGGUAUUGUCUUGUUCACAAAGUCGUGCAUUCUGACGAUGCUUUCAAGAUUUUUCAAAAGCCUUCUGUGCCAACCUAUAAAAUAUCAAAUGACAAAGCCAGAAGUCUGGGCAUCCGCUUCACUCCUCUGGAGGUGAGUUUUAAGGACACUGUGGAGAGCUUGAAAGAGAAGGGUUUCUUCAAGGACUGAUGCUGCAACAGGCAACUAAAAGAAUAAAAACCAUGCCAAAGUCGAUUAGAUGGGCAUUUUCUGCUGUAAUACACUUAUGACAGAGUUUUCUUCAGGAGAUCCGAAGUUUUCUAAUUGCUCACAGAAUAUGUACAAUGCCACCUGAAGCUUACUGAAGCAGCCAUUUUCAUUGUCAGACAAAUGUUUGGCUGUUAUCUGUAUUGAGUAACUUGAAAUCCAGGAGUUCACGUUUGCAUGGUAGUGAAACUCCAGCCUCCUGUGUCAAAGGGAAAAAAAAGACAAAAUGGCAAUAAAGCCGAUGAGUUUAACAGCCAAAAUUCUACGUGUAGUAAAGGUGCAAGUGAUGCAGUCAAUUGCAUUAAACAGGAAAUGUACUGGCCUGCUUUCCCAGGGCAAAAUGCCAAUCCAAUUGAGCAACUGGCACCACAGCAUUCACCUUACCCCCUCAUUCAAGAACACAGCGGAGCAGGGAGAUCUUCUCAUGUCUCCAUAGGCUCAUAGCCCCUCAAUUGACAACAUUACAGCGAUGCGAAAUGAAAUGGCUAAGAGUGCGGUGGCGGUAAACAAGGCAAGUUUCACGCACAUAUCUGUAAGUCAAAGAAAAACAGAAGCAUGUUUCCCUGGAUCAAAGGAAGAGAUGCUUAACUUCUUAAAUUUCCAUCACCUCUCUCGGUGAGGAAAUUGCUACGGUAUAAGUGCUCGACUUCCACAAGCUAUCCCAUUUCACCGGUUGUCUUUCCCAAAUCCAAUAGCAGAUUAUAUUUAGAUUUUCAAGUCGGCAAUCAUCGAUAAAAUUAUAGUUCCACCAUCCACAAACCCGUUAAAAGAUUACCGUGUAACUUAAAAUUUUAGAAGAGGAGUUUAACUAUCUGCAAAUUACCAAUGAAAAAAAAUAUUAUCACCCAAAAACUCCAUAGUAGAUUUACCGCUUGGAAAAAGCAAUCUGUGCGGUGUCGUUGGAGUCGCAUCGGAAGCAAUAUACUUAGUCCGCCUAUACGAGACAACCAGGGAAAGAGAAAGAAGAACACACGUGUAGUACCAGGAUGACGUGGCAUAUAUAUAUAUAUAUAUAUAUAUAUAUAUAUAUCUAUGAAGCCCAACCACAACUUGACACGUGUUCAUGACCUGGACAAACAUAGAAAAAGUAAAAAUCUAGCUGGAAUUUUUCGGUCUCUUCUCCCGUCUCCUCCAUCCGCAGUCGCCGGUGUACUCGCUGGUGCUGCUUCCAGGCCGACCACUGCGGUGCAUCCAUGGCCGAGCCACCCCUCCUUCGUUGGCGGCGGCUUACAAUCGUUGCCGUCCACGGGCGAGCCAUCCACUUCGUUGCAGCUCGUCCAUUCGGUCAACGGUGGACCUGUUAAUUUGAAGGCUCACUUCUGUGGAUCUGGGGAGUCGCCCGAUCUGUUAUUUUAGAGUUUGGGAGCCCCCAGAUCUGGCGGUGGACGAAGAAGAAGAUGAUCUUGCGGUGGCUUGGCCAUGGACCAUGGCUACUGAUCUGGCGACGGACGGGUAUGGCCGCGAGCAAUGAUGAAGGGGUGGCUCGGCUCAUGGACCUCCGCACAAAUGAGCCUGACUGCAACCACCGUCGAUGGAGGAGGAAGAAGAGAGAAAAGGGGAGGCCCACGUCAUGGACAUGUGUCGAUGCGCGAUUGGAUUUUAGCACACAUUGCUUGGCACCACAUCAGCCCAUGACGCCAUGACGUGGUGUUAUGCGACCAUUCAACACUUGCUCGAGACUUUCCUUGAGUAAUGCAUGACAGACGAUCUAUAUGUCUAAUUAGAAAACUGAUCACUCACGAUCAAGAAGAGUAGGUGGUCAUUUGUCCCAUUCAAUUUUUUCUAGGAACAUAUUUAAAACAAAGAGUGAACGUAAGUCCCUCGCACAAGCCGGUCAAAUAAAUGAUCAUGACAAAGUGUCGAGGUUGAAUAUAUCCCGAAUUCAUAAAAGAGAAUUCCCACUUAUAAAUGUAUUGCAAUCAGUAUCCCUCUCAUCCCCUGUUCCAAGGAGAAGAGAGGAGCGGAGAUGAGUACAGCAGAGAAGGUGGUGUGUGUAACUGGAGCGGCCGGUUACAUAGCCUCCUGGCUUGUCAAAGUGUUGCUUCAGCGUGGCUACACGGUCAAAGCAACUGUACGCAAUCCCAGUAAGUUUUUUAUCUUUGCUCAUGCUCCGUUGUUCACAAUAUUGGAUUUCUGAAUCUUUGGUUUGUCCAAUUUAGCAGUUGAACGGUUUACUCUUACUUAGUUGGAAACUUGAAAUGUUCUAGAUAAUAUGGAAGUGGUACCAAAAUCUGUUACUCAGUUAUGAUGAGAAAACUAUUCUCUUGUAAUAUCUCUUACCUUUGCAAUUAACUCAUACAUGCAUGUGUGUACUUGUUUGUAAGGGUUUGUGUGCAUGCCUAUACAUAUACGUUAUGCUCAGGGUACGUAUGAUACAAUAGCAUCCGAGUCCACUAGCUGAAGGUAUGAAGCUCUUGUAAUAUCUGAUUCCAUUGGCUUAACUAUUCAAGUUUGCACACAAUCUUAUGCUACCUCUAUAGUUAGAUCCAAUGCAUAGCGUACAUUAGAAAUUUAUAUUUGUGGUCUUCUUAUCUAUUGAUAACAUUUCGUGUUAAGUGACCAAAAGCUCCCAGAGUUUCAUUCCAUCAAAUCAAAUUCUCCUUUUUUGAAUGCAUAAGCAGGUGAUCCAAAGAAGACACAGCACCUUCUGGAACUUGGAGGGGCUAAGGAGAGACUACAUAUCUUCAAAGGAGAAUUGCAGGAGGAAGGGUCUUUUGACUCAAUAGUUGAUGGGUGCGAGGCUGUCUUUCAUACAGCAUCACCGGUUUUUUUCUCAGCUUCCAACCCUGAGGUAUCUGCAUAUUGCAGUUGUACAUCAUGAUUUCAUGGAUUUGUUAAAUGUAAAGCAUCACAUCUUUCAAAUUCUAGUUCUUUUUCCCUUGUCGUCUGGUGCAGUUUAUCAGACGGCAAAUGAUCUAACAUUUCUUGGAUGAUUCGACAAAACCAUUCUAAUCAGAUUCCUUUCCUUACAUGCCGCAGGCUGAAAUAGUCAAUCCUGCAGUUGAAGGUACCCUAAAUGUUCUCAGAUCAUGUGCAAAGGUCCCUUCUAUCAAGAGAGUGGUUUUGACAUCCUCCAUGGCUGCGGUUGUGUGCAAUGGGAAGCCUUUGACCUCUGAUGUGGUAGUUGAUGAGACAUGGUUCUCCGAUCCAGCAUUCUGUAAGGAAUCAAAGGUCUGUAAGUAAGCUGGCUUUUGACAGUAGAAUCUCUUUUGCUUGGUCUGUGAUGCCCCAUCAACUGGAUGAAUUUUUCCAAUAAAAAAUCGUCAAUAGAUUUGAUUUUGGCUAGUAUUCAAGCUUGAUUCGUGUUAAUUUAAUUGAAUACUUGAGGCUGAACAUAGCUUAAUCUUAGUGGCCAAGCAGUCAAGAGGUAUCAUCUUCCUUGCCUUAAUGGUUUUUCCAUCCACCUAUCUGUUUAAGCCCUCAACCUUCAAGCAUGUUCGUUUGUUUGCCCAUAUUUGGCCAAUGUAAGAUACACAAGUUGGGUGCUUUGCCUCACUGAAUACCUCUAUAUGACAAUUAGAUUUUUGUGAUGGACAACUUUUAAAGAAUUUCUUUUCUAGUGCUCCUCAUCCAUUGCUUUGAAAUGUCAAACAAGGCAGAGCAAAUUCAGUGUCAUGUCGAUGAUGAUCACAUCCAUCAGUGGUGCGAGCUCUUUCACUCUUUCAUCGCCUGACUUCGGUUUAAUUAUUUUCAGCUUUGGUAUGUGCUAUCUAAAACCUUAGCAGAGAAGGCAGCUUGGGAUUUUGCAAGAGAGAAUAGGAUGGACCUGGUCGUGAUAAACCCUGGACAUGUGAUUGGCCCUCUCUUGCAGUCUACCAUCAAUCUCUCUAUGGAGAUGAUACUGAACCUCGUCAAUGGUAUUACUUAAAAGUCAAUGCUUGACAUGUCUAUUAUCAUUGUGUCAGCAUUUUGGAUCUCAUUUUUUGUCUGAUAUUGACCAUUGAUAUUUUGCAAAUGACUAAGGACCUGUCGCCAAAUUUCUCCGCAAGAUAGAGAUGCAACUGCACAUGGAAACUUAUUUUCCUGCCAAAGUGCACUCUGCUCCUGUGAUUACAGAGAGAAUGAUUUGAGGCUUAUACAAUGCAGGAGCUCAAACAUUUCCCAACAUCUCUUACAAAUUUGUUGAUGUCAGAGAUGUGGCCCAUGCACAUAUUCUAGCUCUUGAAAAUCCUUCAGCUAGCGGCAGAUAUUGUAUGGCAGGAGAGGCAAUACAUUGUCAAGGCGUUUUGAAGAUCCUGCACGACUUUUAUCCUACACUGCACCUCCCUGAAAAGUAAGCCCCCAUAUUUCUUCAAUUUCUAAAGAGAAGAGUUACAUUUUAUGAGCAUCCCUAGAAGGAAUCCUAUCUACUGAACAUUGACAUUAUUAAAGGUGCAUGAAUCAUUGUUGAUGCAGAUGUGAAAAUGACAAACCAUACGAGUCGGCUCCUCGGGUGUCAAUCAAGGGAGCAGAUUGAAGGUCUGGGUGUGAAGUUCAUUCCUUCGGAGGUCAGUCUAAGAGACACUGUGGAAAGCCUCAAGGAGAAAGGCUUCCUCUCUGUUUGAGUUUCCUGACAAGUGACAAGGAAAACCCUAUACUCCAAAGGCAUAUAUAUGGUUUCCACGAACUUAUAGUCAUAAAAAGUUUCUGCAUAAAUUUAACGCUUCCCUUUUAUUAGACUCCAUUGAAGCAUGCAUAAUGUCUUAGAGUCACUUGCUCAGUGUAAAUUUAAACUUGAAAGCUGAUUAUGAACGUUGUUUAUUGGAGUAGUUUUCUGCUUUUGCCACUGAUUUCUAUUCCUGGCUUCAUGUGCGACUACUUUUAACAACCUGAGGUUUUGUAUGUAAGUUGAGGUGAAGCAAUGCCCAGUGUUUGUUCUGGGGCAGAAAGGCAACCUCUAACAUGGAUAAUGAGGAAUCCUGAGAACCAUUCAUAGUUAGACAAAAAUCCAAAAGAAUGGCUGGGAAAAUAAAUUAUUGAUUAUUCCCAUAUUCUUUUGGAGAUUCUCAUUAAUCAACUCCUACAACGGAUCAAAUGAUGAAUGACUAAUAAUAGGGCCACUAAUCUCUAUACUAAUUUCUGGCCGCUGCUCCACCAUAAUCGAUCACAGUAAAGCUGCACUUUAGUUUCUGGCGUGGUGCACAAUGAUCAAAUUUAAUUUUAUUGAAGGCCCUGACACCAGGAUUCGGGUAAUUUGCUUUAAUAUCAAAAUUUUAAUAUAAAGGGCAUCCCAGUGCACAAGGCUAUACUGAUUUGCAACUCAUCGUCUCUUUCCAUCUUUCUGAAGUUACCAUACUUACUUUCCCAUUUCUUGAAUUGAAAUGAACAAAACUUUCCAUAUAGAACUUUACGCAACACAUACGUACUGAUCCUCACUCUCACCAAACGCAAACAGAAGACCAGUGCGAACCAGAUCAAAUCUGUUGGCUUUUAAUUGGGUAAAGUUGAUCAUUGCCAUUCAAGAUGAAACAGCUCCUAUGAUUGUGAAUUAAAUAUCAACUUGAUGCAGGACUUAGCUUUCUUUUCUUUUCUUUUCUUUUUCUUUUUUUUUGUGCCCCUGAAAAGCAAUCUUAUAUAGCUCAUCUUUUCCUUUGGUAAAAGAAGAAAACAUCUUCAUGAAAUUGACUUGCAUUGAGCCAUGCAACGCUUGACAUAUGAAUAAGAGUUGGGGAUUCAUCAAAGUUUCCUCAUCUAGCUUUUGUGGAAAAAUAAAAGAAUUUGUCAAUGCCUCAUACAAGAUUGUUAGACUAACAAAUUUGAAACACUUGCAGAACUAAAGAUUUUCUAAACUUAGUAAAGAGAAUCUUUUUUGCCUUUAAUAUGAAUUGCUCUCCGCAUACUCUCUUCCAAGCCCCUGUUCAAGAUUCAAUGCCAAAAAGAGGAGUAGAGGAUGGAUGAGUACCACAACAAAGGUCGGAUGCAUAACUGAAGUGUCCGGUUACAUAGCAUCCUGGCUUGUCAAGUUGUUGCUCCACCUUGACUAUAUGGUGAAAGCAACUGUUUGCAAUCCCAAUAAGUUUAUGCAACUUUAUGUUCAUGCUCUAAUCUUCAGAAUCUUGAACCUUUUGAAUAUUCAGUCUGUUCAUUUUAGUAUUAGUAUGGUUUGCAAUUUCUUAGUUGAAACAUUUUAGACGAUACAAAAUGUGUAACAAAAUCUUCAUAACAUGAAUCUGUUCUUUCCUAAUCAUCUCUUACCUUUUGGAUAAACUCAGACAUGUAAUAUCCAAGUGUUAUUUGUGGGCAGUUGUGUGCACGCGUAUGCAUAUGCCUGCUUGCCUUUGGGGUUUCAGGUUGCCUAUUACAUUAAGUCGUCCAGAUUUAAUUGCCUGAAAAUUAGAUCUCUUGCAGUACGAUCAUAUGUGACCACUUGAGCAAAUCAAAUACAGAGCCAACAUCAUAACUUGAUAAUUGCAGUCUAGUGACUGAGAGUUACAGCAAUUUGGAUCAGCCAAAUUAAAUCUUGUUCUUGCAUGUGCAAUUAAACUUAUGAUUCAAAGAAGACAUGAUUUCUUCUAGCCCUCAAAGGGGCUAAGGAGAGAGUACAUUUAUUUAAAGCAGAAUUGCUGGAAGAAGUGUAAUUCGACUUGAUAGUUGAUGGGUGCGAAGCUGUUUUAUAUACAGCAUCACCGGUGAUUUUCUCAGUGGCUGACCCCCGGGCGUCUGUAUCUUGCUGUUAUCCGUCAUUUCUCUACAUCUUCAGUAUUGUAUCUGCAAAAUUCUAGUUCGUUUCAACUUGUCCUUUGUAUGUGCAGUUAAUCAAAUGGCAAAUGAUAUAAUAUUUCUAAGGUAAUUCAACAUAAAUUUAUCUGAUGGGCUUCUAAUCUUAUUACCGACUGAAAUAGUAGAUACUGCAGCCAGGGGGACCCUAAAUGUUCUCAAAUCAUGUGCAAAAGUCCCUUCAAUCAAGAGAGUGGUUGUGACAUUCUCCAUGGCCUCGCUUGUCUGCAGUAGAAAAUUCCUGACCUCUUUGGUAAUUGAUGAGACAGGGUCUCCGAUCCGGUUUUAUGUGAGGAACCGAAGGCCAGUAAGUAGACUGUUCUUUUCGACAUUGUUGGUCUCUUUUGCUUGGUCUGUCAUACCCUACACGAUCUUCAACACUUUUUUUUUCCUAGUUGGAAAAUUGCCAACAUAUUGAUUUUUACAUGAUUUGGAACACGAGCUGAUGCUAUAAAAUAUCGACGCCAAACAUAUUCACUCGAUGGCUUGAAUUGAAUCACUGUAGUGCCGAGCGGUCGAGAAAUGCUUCUCCCUUGCCUUAAGGGUGUGUUGUUUACCUAUUUGAUUAAAUCCUCAACCUUCUUGCAUAUGAACGUGCUCCCAUGUAUUAUUCUGAUAUAGGCACAUAACUAAAAAGGUUCUCAUUAUUUAAGACCUCUGUACGACCCUAAAAUUUUAGUUACCCAUAUCUCUUUAAGUGGUAGUUCUAGAAUCCCAGAUGAGGCAGCAUCGUCAAGUUGACGUCGGUUAUUUUUGUGAUAAGCGCAUGAGUUCUUUCCUUGCAUUAAUAUGGUCUUUCUAUUUUCAGCUUUGGUAUGUGCUUUCUAAAACCUUAGCAGAGGUGCCGGCUUGAAAUUGCUAAAGAGCACAAAGAUUGACCCGUCAUGAUAAAGUCAGGACACGUGAUUUGUCCUCGAUUAGAACUGGAUAACUUCAUGCCAUACGUGACUGUGACAUUAUAGGCAUAUAUGCACUACUAAGAUUUAUCCUCUACAACAACCUACAAGUGAUUGGCAUUCACAGUUUUGUUUUCUGCUUAUAGGUUUACAUUUUUAAGUCAGUUAUCUUGGUAGUGCUCUCACUUGAGCACUCUUAAUAAUGUGAGUUUCAAUGCUAAACGUUCUCAUUUGGGUAAAGUUACCAAUAAUUCUAUUUACAGUUCUGUUCGUUCCUGCCCGUGCGAGACCCCGGUAAACUUGACUGCCGCUCCUUAUCCUGGCCUCCUUUGAUCAGACCUGAUCUUUACAGGGUCACCAUCUUUAUAGAAGGCACGGCCACCAGGAUAAGGGUACGCUGCUUAUCUCUCACCCAUCGCUCACAGAAGAUCAGUGCGAAUUGCAAAAUUUAGCUGCUAAUUAGAGAAGAAGAAGAAGAAGAUGAGCACGAGAGAGGAGAAGCAGAAAGUGGUGUGUGUGACUGGAGGGGCAGGUUACAUAGCUUCUUGGGUGGUCAAGCUCUUGCUUCAGCGUGGCUACACUGUUAAAGCCACCAUGCGAGACCCAAGUAAGCUUGCCAUCUCUAUUCUCUCGAUAUCUUCUCUAUCAGUGUUUUCGUGCUCCUGCGCCCUUCAAAUUACGGAUAAAACCAUGCGGUGGAAACGGCUAGAAUCGUCCUCGAUGAAAUAAAUGUUAUCGGGACCCAUUAUUUUUUUUCAGUUAUAUUUCUUUUCUUGGUAAUUCUAUUUAAUGUUUUCUACGAGAUACUAGGCCAUGUUUCAUCCAUUGGGACACCAUGUAGAUUUCACUAAGUAUGCGGGGCGCCUUAUUGAAAUUUUAGAGUCUAAAGCUCUUGAUUUCUUCAUUCUCAUUUCGGCACUACGAAAACACAAUCUAGCAGCUAAAAUCUACCAUUAGAUCUCCACGAAUCAACUAAAUGAUGCAAGUAAAGUCAUUAAUUACCUCUUGAGCCAGAGCAAGUUCAUCCAAGAAUGAUGUAACUUAUCUUUUUCUGCCCAUUUGGCCAUAGAUGAAGCGAUUUUAAUAGUAUGUCAAUGAGGGUGACCACUAGAAUUCUGGAUUCCAACCCCUUAAAUGAGUAAUUUUCAUUCUUGUUUGUGUGUUACAGAUGACCCAAAGAAGACAGAACACCUUCUGGCACUUGAAGGGGCUAAGGAGAGACUGCAAUUAUUUAAAGCGGACUUGCUGGAAGAAGGGUCCUUUGACUCAGUAGUCAAUGGGUGCAUAGGCGUUUUUCAUACUGCAUCACCUGUCUUGCUCUCAGUUGCUGACCCCCAGGUACUUGUAUCUUGUCGGUUCAGUCAUCCUUCGUGCCUUAUACUCGUCUCUGUUGCAAUGUUGUCCUUGGCUUUUACAUAACCUGCUUACAUUUCACUCCAUUCCAUUAUCCAUGUAUAGGGGACUUCUCUAAUGAUCUUGCUUGUGCUCCAGCAAUCAGUUUCUAGUGAUCCGACACAAGGAGUUUCAAUUUUUUCUGAUAGUUCCGAUAGGUUCUGUUCUGAAUGAUUUUGUUUUCUCUUGCUUAAUUUAGGCUGAAUUAAUUGAUCCUGCCCUAAAAGGCACCCUUAAUGUUUUGCGGUCAUGUGCCAAAGUCUCUUCUAUCAAGAGAGUGGUGGUGACAUCUUCUAUUGCUACAGUCUCAUAUAUUGCAAAGCCUCUGAUGUCUGGUGAUCUAGUUGAUGAGACUUGGUUUUCAGAUCCAGACUUUUGUGAGAAAUCUAAGGUUGGUUGUCUGUAAUUUCUUCACAAUACUGGUAAUCUUGGAAUUCCUUUGAUUAUGUUUUGAUUAUGUUGAACCCAGUCCAUGUCGUGUCAAAGGUAACUGAGCUGAGGCAAAAGAUACUUAACAUUAUAAGUUUGGUUUUUCCUUGUUCAGCUUUGGUAUGUUCUCUCAAAAAUCUUGGCAGAGAAGGCGGCCUGGGAAUCGGCAAAGGAGAAUGAGAUUGACUUGGUCACGAUUAACCCAGGAAUUGUCAUUGGCCCUUUGCUGCAGCCCACUGUUAAUCUCAGUGUGGAGAUGAUACUGAACUUUGUUAAUGGUAUGGAUGUAUGACUAUUUUGCUAUUCCGCGUGGACUUACUCCUUUUUGGUUCUUGAAAAGUUAGUCUGAUGAUCCUAUGUUCAAAUUCUUAUGACUCUGGCAAAUAGUCUGAUCCAUGAUAGGUACGUCUGGUUUGCAAUUAAAGUAGGAGGGCAGUUGCGCUUUACAUAUUACACAAUACACAUGGUGCAUGUGUCUUCUUACAUAUAAACUAAUGGCAUUCAUUGAUGAGACCUUUUCCCACGCAUUUUGAUUGUAAGUUUCCAAGUCUGGAACAGAGAAAUGAAAAUUCUGAUAAGUAUCCGCUAUAAAUUGUAUGUCGAUGUCGAAAAUAACUUAACGCUUAUCGUGCAGGAGCUCAAACAUUUCCAAAUGAAUGUUAUUGUUUUGCCGAUGUCAGAGAUGUAGCGAAUGCACAUGUUCUAGCUUUUGAAAAUCCCUCAGCUUGCGGAAGAUACUGUGUAGUAGGAGAAGUCAUGCAUUGUCAUGACGCCUUGAAAAUUUUGCAGAAUCUGUACCCAACAUUGCACCUUCCUGAUAAGUAAGUUCUUUUUUCUGUAAUUACUCUUCCUUAUUUCCAACUCGUCUGCUGCUUGACUGUGGGCCAUUCAAAACAGCCUGUGAAGGAUUAGCACGCUUUUUUCCUCUGAGAAAAUACAUGAUGGGCCUUGUUGGUUGGAACGAAGUAGAGGGACUGCACUGAUUACGAUGAAAUUGGAGAUUUAAUAGCAAUAAACUUACUGAGGUCAUUGAAUAUCAGUUCAGGACUGACAAGAAAAAUUUGCAGCUUCAGGACAUUCCAUACAAGGUAAUUAAAUGUAACAUGGACUACAUAGUGAUUCAAAGCAUCGGAAGGAAUCUUCGUGUUCGUUUAUUAGUCUGUUCAAUAGAAAAAUGUGCGACAAGGUCAAACUUGGAGUAUCACCAGUUUAACUAAGUGAACAUUCAACGCCCAUUUAUAUCACAAGACCUUGAUCGUAACAUUCUUGAUCAGUUACUACCAAUUUCAAAAGUGGGUGUAAAUGCCAUCUUGUUUGUUUAGUAACAAAAGCCCGUCUGAGACAGCCACUGGAUUCCAUGUGACUGAUCUUCUCAAGAUGUCUAGGAGAAUCACACUUUGUUUGUCCAAUGAUGCAGAUGCGAAGAUGACAAACCUUUCGCACCGAAGUAUGAAUACUCAAGAGAGAAGGCGGAAGCUCUGGGUGUCGAAUUCACUCCUUUAGAGAUCAGUCUAAGAGACACCAUUGAAUCUUUACGGGAGAAGGGGUUCAUCUCGGUCUAGGCACCUGCUUAAAAACAGCACGACACUAGCUGAUAAUUCGGGGUUCCUUGCUUUACGAAACAAGUUUUACCGGUUGAAGUUUCUUCACGCGAUUUGUAGUCCGAUAUGACUUACAACUAGAAGUGUACAUUAUCUGCAGAAAUCUCUAAAGACCUGCAUCUUCUUGGGGUAAUAUUGCGAAUGAACAAGUUGAGCUAGCAUUUUAUUGGACGCCCUCAUCUCCGGUGUACUCCAUUAGACGCUACGUGGAAGAAAAAGAUGAUACAUACCAUUUAAAACCAGAUCAGAUACUCAGAAACCAAGGAUUUACAAAGGAAAUGAAGUAUUUCUUUUCCACGAGAAAGACAUAUGGGAAGACGAGAGAAAAUUGAAGAGAGGAAUCCAUUGGCCAAGGACAAAGGGAGAUUCCGCACCACUCGCUCCACGUUUGCCUCGUCCUUGUUAUGAAUCUUGCCGAGAAACGCGCAUGGCAACGCUGAAAGUAGUAUUCCUUUUGCUUGCCUUCCUUUUGAAAACAUUGUGUUGUUUCCUUAUUUAGUACAUAACCUUUUAUGUGUUUCAUUAGUGUUAUAAAACUUGUUGCGCAGAAUUCUAAUAUUUCGUUGCCAAAUAAAAAACAACUUUCCAUGCAUGGUGAUCUUAUGAUAUGAUUAGUGAUCUUUAUAUCUUAUUGUAAAGUAGUGUAACCGACUGUUUGUUGGUCAAAUGCACUAACGGUGAUUUACCAAAAUGUUGACAAUUUACCAAUAAUAAAUACAAUAAUACAUUAUCAACCUUCUCUUUUUUUUCACUAGGUUAUCACUCUAAACAAAAAAUUCAAAUGCGAAAUUAGUGACUUCCUACUGAAAUUGCAAGGUAGUAAGUUCCUAGCAGAGUGAAGAAUUUAUUGACUUCAAAUGAAAUGCAAGUUAUCAUUAUUUUGACGAGCUCGCCGGGCCUCGCCAAUAGGUCAAUAACUAUUGGGUCACAAAUGUAAAACUUAGCCCGCUUUUACCAUAGCAAGUUAUCAUCUUAGAAAUUUUCCGCUUAGUAGAUGGAUCCGCUUGUAAAAUUUGAAAGUAUUUGAUAAUUCAUUAGUUGAUACGAGUCAUGACAUCAUUAUUGAAACGAAUAAUAGUUUAUUACAUGGGGCUAAAUUGAAACAAAUCUUUUCUGUAGGCAUGGCAUCCGAAGACAUUUCCUUGAAACGUAGCUGUCUUAGACAAGUUGCCUUUGAGUCAGGCAUGACACAAGUGAUCGGAUAUUUCUAUCGGCGCCCAACCCCUGUGGUCUAGAAUAGGUGAUCGUUCAAAGUUUCUCCAUCUAUCUUCUCUGAUUGAAGGAUUUAAGUUGGCGAGACAUGUGAAGGUUGAAAAUUAUUCAAGUUGAACAUUAUCUGAAAGCAAUCAUAGAUGAUUUUUUUCCUUAUAUAUACCAGUAGAAGAUUCAGCUCCAAGGAUAGGAGAGGAGAGGGAAAAUGAGCACGACAGAGAAGGUGGUUUGUGUAACCGGAGGGGCUGGUUACAUAGCAUCAUGGCUCAUCAACUUGCUGCUUCACAGGGGCUAUACAGUCAAAGCGACCAUCCGCAACACCAGUAAGUUCAUCGUUUCAUCUUCGUGUCUUGUUCUUAAUUUUUUUUUUUUUUUUUUUUGGAUUCUUGGGUGGUGCACUCUAUUCUUAGAGAAUGAUUCACAGUUUCUUAGUCGAAUCAUUCGGAUGCAUGGACUUUGUACCAAAUUCCGUUUUUAUCAGAAAGUGUGCUUUUCUAAUCGUCUCUUCCCAUUUCGAUUCACUCGCAUAUGCGUGUAUUUAUUUGGAAGUGCAUAAGUGCAUGUGUACGCAUAUACUGAUUUGUCUAUGUGCUUUUGGAGCUAUGGCAAUAUAACAUGUUCGAGUUCGCUGCCUAAAGAAUUAAUCCCUUGCAAUAUUCGAAUCCAUUAUGUCUUAAUCCUGGUUUUUUAUAGAUGUGGAUAUGUUGCAACUCAGGUCAAGAUCAAGUACUAGCAUGUUUCAUGAUUCAUAACUUGAUGUCAUUCUAUAUGAAGGAACUUAGAUUGUGAUCUAUCAGAUCUAAUUCUGCAUUCUGGCAUGUGUAUAUAAGCAGAUGAUUCACAGAAGACACAACAUCUUCUGGCACUUGGAGGGGCCAAGGAGAGGCUCCAUUUGUUUAAAGCAGAUUUGCUAGAAGAAGGGUCCUUUGACUCGAUACUCGAUGGGUGCGGAGCUGUUUUUCAUACAGCAUCACCUGUGGUUUUCUCGGCUUCGGAUCCCCAGGUGUCUGCACAUAUCAGUUCCUUCCGCUUUGUACUGUAGAUUCAUACGAUAGAUGAUCUGAUAUUACUUGGGUGAUUUGGCAAAAUCGUACUGAUGACCUCCUUCAUGUUGCAGGCUGAAAUAGUGGAUCCAGCUGUCAGAGGCACCUCAAACGUUCUCAAAUCAUGUGCAAAAGUCCCUUCUAUCAACCGAGUGGUAGUGACCUCCUCCAUGGCUGCAGUAGUGUUCAAUGGAAAACCUCUGACCUCUGGUGUGGUGGUUGAUGAAACAUGGUUCUCUGAUCCGGUUUUCUGCGAGGAAUCAAAGGUAGUAAGAUGCUUUUCUUGAUAUUGUUGGUCUCUUUUGCUUGGUCCGCUGUCUGUGAGUUCGUUCAUCGCAUUGUUGUGUCUGCUAUUUUCAGCUUUGGUAUGUGCUCUCCAAAACCUUGGCGGAGAAGGCUGCUUGGGAAUUUGCUAAAGAGAAGAGGAUCGACCUGGUCGUGAUGAACCCAGGACAUGUGAUUGGAACCUUUUGCAGCCUACAGUCAAUCUCUCGGUGGAAUUGAUAUUGAACUUUGUCAACGGUAUUACUUGAUGGUUUCUAUGUCACACGUACUAUUUUUCAUGAGAUGAUUCAUUCUUUUACACAUCAUGUCAGCAUUUGGCAUCUCUUUUAAAUUCUGAGAUUGACCAUGGGAGGGUUGAUUCAGUGUCAUAAUUGCAUAAUUACAUGCAGUCGAUUUCCAUGUGCAAGAAAAAACACGGUUGCUCAAGGAAAUUGAUUUUUGAUUAAAAAUGGCGUUAGCAGUGGGAAUAAUCGAUACAUGUAUGAUGUAGGAACUGAAGAAUUUCCCAAUGCAUCCUACGGAUUUGUUGAUGUCCAAGACGUCGCACUAGCACAUAUUCAAGCUCUCGAAAACCCUUCAGCCAGCGGCAGAUAUUGCGUAGUUGGAGGAGUAAUGCACUAUCCGGACAUGUCGAAGAUCUUGCACCAUCUCUAUCCCACAUUGCGCCUCCCAGAAAAGUAAGUUCCCGUUUUUGUUCAACUCCAUAGAUUAAAAGGUAACUUUUUUUCUCUUAAGAGCAAGUCGAGAAAUGGUCUUAUGGCGAGCAUAUACACUAACGUUAACCGAUGCUGCACGAAUCAUGCAUUUUGAACACAGAUGUGAAGACAACAAGCCUGCUGUGGCGGCUCAUCGGAUAUCAAGGGAAAAAGUAGAAGGUUUGGGUGUGAAUUUCAUACCUCUGGAGGUUAGCAUAAAAGAUACUGUUGAAAGCCUCAAGUAGAAAACUUUCCUCUCUUUUUGAGCUUUUUCUUCGGAGGUCGGCCUAAGUGACAUCAUUGGAGCCUCAAGGGCGAAGGCGGAAUCUCUCUAUUUGAGCUAGCUUUUCUCGAUCGACAACGCUGACCUCAUAGUCAUACUUAAAAGGUUGUUGAUAACGUAUUGUAUAUUUCAUAUAGUUAUCGUGGUCGGACCAUGUAUGGUCUCUUACUCUUGUUGAAUAGAGCAUUCCAUCUCUAAACUUGAAAGACGAUGCAAUGCUGAAUGUCUAUCCUAUAGUUAUUGUAUGCGAAUUUGCUUUAAUAUUCAAUAACAAUAUUAGGAUAAUCGAGUGUGAUAAUAUUGAAAAUAAUUUAUUGAAAAAAUCAAGAGAAUUGAAGGGCUCAAUAUAUUCAAGAAAAAGUCCAACCAAAAAAAAAACAUAAAUUAAGGGAUCAAAUAUGGUUUAUCCCAAAUCAAGAAUUAGAUAAGUACAACUACUCAGGGUGCGUUUGGCUGGCACCUAUUUCUGUUCCCAGGAACAGAAAUUUCUGUUUUUUUGUUCCUGGGAACAAAAAAGGAACAGAAACGCGUUUGGGUGCGUUUCUGUUCCUUUUUGUUCUUUUGUUCCCAGAAACAAAAAGGGAACAGAAAUAAGAAACAAAAAAUUCUUGUUUCUUAUUUCUGAAACAUAUUUGAGGAACAAAAAAGAAACAAAAUGGUGUUCUCUUGCGACCCUCUCCUCCUGCAAGCGUCUCCACCGUCGUCUUCUCCGGCGCCUCCCACUCUCCGGCGCCGACAGCCGCCUCUGUCUUGAGACCAUCCGGCUUCUCCACCAUCGACCUCUCCGGCACCGACAGCCGCUGCAAGCGUCUCCACCUGUGAGCGAGUGACGUAGCUGGGUCGUGGGUCGCUGGGCGGCGACGGUGGCUGCGGUGCUGGGCUCGGCCGUGGGGUCUCGAGCGGCGGACGUCUACGAGCAGAGCGGCGAGGACUGCCGGUCGAGUCGUGGGCCGGCGCGAGGUCAACGAUCGAGCGGAUCUCGAAGUCGUGGGUCACGGUGCGGUGAGAUCUGAUGCGGCGGUGGCGAACGAAGGCUCGAGACCUGCAGAUGCGUCGAUCGGGCGUGAGGCGGAGGGGCGGUCGCCGAUGCGGUGGCGGCGAGGAGGCGUCGAGCGCGGUCGCCAAUGCGGUGGAGGGAGACGACGGUGUGGCUCUAGGUCACCGUCGGCACGGCGCGGCGAGGCCGACCUCGCGCCUGGCUGGGCGAGCUCGAUCUCGCCCAGAUCCGGCGAGGCCGAGCUCGCCCAGCGGCCGGCGAGCCUCGUCGUGGCUGGGCGAGGCCGCCGGCGACCGGCCAAAAGAAGAAAAAAGGAAAAAGCAAAAAGGAAAAAGGAAAAAGAAAAAAAGGAAAAAUAAAUAAGAAAAAUAAGAAAGAAAAUAGAAAAUAAAAAUAAAAAUAUUAAAAAAUUAAAAGAAAUAAAAAAAUUAUACAAACUUACCCAAUGUGUUUCUGUUCUUUUUAUAUUUCUAAAAUGAAUUUACCAAACGCAUUUUUUUGUUUAAAAAUUGUUCCUUAGAAUAGAAACACUUUUUUUUUAUUUCUGUUCCCAGAAAUAAUUUUUAAACAGAAACGUUACCAAACGCACUUUUAAUAUCUCAAAGCUUAAAGUAAAGCUACUCAAGAGGAGUUGGAAGAGUUCCUCUUGAACUUGGGCGCCGCCCCAGGACAAUGGAAAGCGAUACGAACCUUUCGGCUCAAAGAAAAGUCGAAACGAAAUGUAAUUAUUACCAAGUAAUGUCACGUACGUAAUGGCUUACGAGUUGCGAGAAGGCGUCUAUCGUCAACCAGGAGCGACAAAAAAUGGGUUUGGAUUAUCUUUAAAGAUUCGGCAGAACAUCGGGCUCUUUAUAAUAUAAUAAGGUCCAUCUGCUGCUCCGCCACCCACUCCAGCACUCGUUCACUCUCUCCCCCGAACCACGAGAGAGGAGACCAGCGCGCGCGCGAACUCCACACGGUUCAGGUGCCAAGAACGGAGGAGAUGAGUGGAGCAGAGAAGGUGGUGGGCGUGAUCGGAGGGUCGGGUUACAUAGCUUCUUGGCUGGUCAAGCUCUUGCUCCUCCGUGGCUACACUGUUCGAGCCACUGUCCGAGACCCAUGUAAGAAAAAUGUUCCCUUUCUUUAUACUCUCUCUCUCUCUCUGCUCUGCUGUUGGAAGAAAAAAAACAGAGCUGUUGAAAUCCGAUAACCCACAUGAAGUUGUGUCCAAACCCUUUGUCAGAGUGAAACCAUCAAAGCUAUUUUUUUCUCUGAGAGAUAGAAGAAUUUUGGUAGCUUCAUUAGUUUUGUGUUGUAGAUUGCCCUCUAAUAUAUGUAUCUAUCCAAUAAAGUUCAAAUCUUUUGCAUCCUGUUCGACUUUGUUGAAGAAGUGGCACGCUCAAACCAUCGUCUAGAUUCCGGAUUCUUGAUUUAUUUAUUUUCAGUAUCAGUUUUGCGCAAGUUUCUCCGGGAACAAUACGGCUCUUCUUGUCCCGCCUAUGCCCUUUCUGAUUGUAGAUGCUACUGAUGUGUCGGUGAGGGUGCUUGCAAGUUUUAGAAUUUCAAUCAGUUAAAUGGAGAAUUUUUCUCAUUCUUGUGCAUGUGCGACAGCCGACCCAAAGAAGACAGGACACCUUCUGGCACUGGAGGGGGCAAAGGAGAGGCUGCAUUUAUUCAAAGCAGAAUUGCUGGAAGAAGGGUCCUUUGACUCGGUAGUCGAUGGAUGCGAAUGUGUUUUUCACACUGCAUCGCCUGUUUUGUUCUCAGCUGCUGACCCCCAGGUGCUUGAAUCUUGCCACGUUAAUCAUCCAACGUUGUCCUUGUUUUCCUAAAUAAGUAGAUAGCUCAUGGACAAACCAUUCCAUUCCAUGUGGAAGGGGAUUUGCUUUUCUUCUGCCACAAUGAGUUCAGUUUCGGUUUUCUGAUACUUUAUGAGAAUUUUACCGAAUGAUUUCUUCUAUUGCAUGACUCAGGCUGAAUUGAUUGAUCCUGCCCUAAAAGGCACCCUUAAUGUUCUAAGAUCAUGCGCCAAAGCCUCUUCUAUCAAGAGAGUAGUUGUGACGUCCUCUAUGACUGCAGUUUUAUUCAGUGCAAAACCUCUGACUUCGGGCAUUGUCAUUGAUGAGACUUGGCAUUCAGAUCCAGAAUUUUGCGAGAAAUCCAAGGUUUGUAUAUCAAAAUUUCCUGACAAUAUUGCUGUUCAUUUCUUUCACUUGUGAAAUUUUAGUGUUGAAUUACAUUCAGAGUUCCUGUUACAUGGUGAAACUGGUAAAAUGCUGAUUCUGAGAGGAGUUGGGACAUCAGGGAACAUUUCUCUCUUAAAUCACAUAGCUUUCACUAGACACUUUUUACGGAUACCCAAACCAAGGAGUGCCUGUCUCAUCACUUACAGUUGUUUGUGUUACUCUUGCAAUUUGGCCUGGCGCCAUGUUAGAUGCUACAUAUGCUUAUUGAAUACAACAGUUUCUCUAUACUUUACUUGCUGGAGGAGAACUACUUAUCUUUCGUUUCUUUUAGCCGGUAAUCUCCGAAUGCCUUGGAUGACAUCGAAUGAAGUCAAUGUCAUGGCAAUGGUUAUUAUAUGUGUUGAAUGAGGCGAAACAUUCUAACAGUCUCUUUGGCUUAUCUAUCUUCAGCUCUGGUAUAUGCUUUCAAAAACCUUAGCAGAGAAGGCAGCUUGGGAAUUCGCCAAAGAGAAAGGAAUUGACCUUGUCACGAUAAACCCAGGAUAUGUGAUCGGCCCUAUCUUGCAGCCCACUGUUAAUCUCACUGUGCAGACAAUACUGAACUUCAUUAAUGGUAUCACUAUCAUCUAGCCAUAAAUUAUGUUUGUUAUUGAAUCUUUGCCAUUUUAUUUCAGAGCGUCUUCAUCAAACAUUUGUGCAUGCUUUUUCUCAUUACCCAAAAGACAAUCUCAAGGAGUAACUAUAGAACUAUGUUUCUGAUUAAAGACGAUCUCAAUGAAGUCAUAUGCCCUUAACCAUACUUAUGAGUUAUGGGCGCAUGUGUCUCAGAAUGUAUUUCUGCAUUGGUCCAUGGAAUAGCUAUCCUUCUUUGCUAGAUAACUGAAUUUGGCAACAUGAGGUCCCGAGGCCCUUUCAUUCUAUCUACUGAAUCUGUCUUAUGUAUUUAAGGGUUUGCUUAAUUGGCUGCACAGACACUAUUAUAAUCAUUUCUGGUAGAUUUCCAUGUGCGACAUGGUUUUCAACUACUGGCAGUGGCAGCAUUUGGUACAAAGUUGUCUUGACGUUUGCAUGGGAGUAAUUGAGGCUUAUCCUGCAGGAGC